CCUACGGGGGGCAGCAGUGGGGAAUAUUGGACAAUGGGCGAAAGCCUGAUCCAGCCAUGUCGCGUGUGUGAAGAAGGCCUUCGGGUUGUAAAGCACUUUCAGUGGGGAAGAAAGCCUUGGGGCUAAUACCCUCGAGGAAGGACAUCACCCACAGAAGAAGCACCGGCUAACUCCGUGCCAGCAGCCGCGGUAAUACGGAGGGUGCGAGCGUUAAUCGGAAUUACUGGGCGUAAAGCGCGCGUAGGCGGUCUGAUAAGCCGGUUGUGAAAGCCCCGGGCUCAACCUGGGAACGGCAUCCGGAACUGUCAGGCUAGAGUGCAGGAGAGGAAGGUAGAAUUCCCGGUGUAGCAGUGAAAUGCGUAGAGAUCGGGAGGAAUACCAGUGGCGAAGGCGGCCUUCUGGACUGACACUGACGCUGAGGUGCGAAAGCGUGGGUAGCAAACAGGAUUAGAUACCCGAGUAGUC
rnacentral:rRNA from 1 species